UUCAAUGAUCAGGAUUUCUUCAUUCGCCAAUUUGCUGCAUCUGGGUCAGACAUAUUUGGUCUGAAAUUCUAUGGUCCAUGGGUUAUGCGACUGAUCAAGCUUCACUCUACUGUUGACUAUCAACCCUCUGCAUGCAACCAUCUCAUAUUUCUGCCAGAGGUUGAUAUGUCCGUUGAAGCCAUUUACCCAGAGCCUGCCAAGGAGGCAAUUUAUCUUCACAAUGUCGAUCGUCAGAGUUUCUCUCAGUAUGUUCAAGGUGUUCAGGCUGCUCCUUGUGUUUAUCCGCUGGCUGGCAAUACUCGUCAUGCACGUACUGAAGCCACAGAAAGCACUAUUGCUCCAAGGCCUCGGAAGAGAUCUCGUGUGCUCAAUGACCGAGAGCUUCUCGUGGCCUUGCAUCAGAAACACGACAAGCAUCAUUACUGG
rnacentral:rRNA from 1 species